UAAAACAGAGGAAAAUUGUCACUUAUUAUGAAGAUUGAGGUCUAAAUUGUCACUUUUUAGAAUACGUGGAUAGAUCAAUGCUUUUUCCAAACUUGAAGGGAAAGGGGUGAGCAUACGUCUGCCCUUAGACUACCAGAGUAAACAACGCAAGGGCAACAUGGGAAAAGUGCAUUUACUCCGACUAUACUAAAAAUUUAUGCAUGAGGAGGUAAAGUCGUGUCUUAGAUUUGUGUGCGAUUCUCUGUCCAUUUUUACGGUGUCGUUUCUCCCCAUCUAAAAGUUUAAUCUGUCACCUCCGCCUUCAGUGUUGUUUAGUCACCAAAGCUUGACUUGAGAGAAAAGAAAGGAAUGUCGAAGAAGAACAUUUUAUCAACCAUAUUCUUGAAGGACUUUCACGGCGGUUCCAUUUCCUUUGAUCUUCCUUUGCCAUCUGAAACUGGACUUAUGGUGAGCUCUGGUACUGAGCGUAACAUGUCAAAAAAUUGGGGGAACAAUCUAGUGAAGUCUGAUCGUCCGAGACCCAAAUCAUCUGGUGCAGCCCGUAAUUUUGGGAGAAACCAUCUUUUCUCUCCCACUCUGCACCUAUCCGUCAAAACUUUGAUGAGGAUGAACGCAAGCCAAUGAAUAGUGCGUUGGCUCCAAAUUGUACAGUUAGAGAUGAUAGCCUUCGCAAUAAGCCCUCCAUUCAACCUGAAAAGCUAGACUAUUUGUCAUAUGCAAGGAUAUCUGAUACAUCGGGCUCAUCUCUGAUUUCAGUUACCAGUUCAUCUCCACUGAGAGUGAGAGGAAAUAAUUUCACAGUAAAUCCACCGGCUCCAAUUAGCAAUUGUGGUCAGGGUAUUACUAAUUUGAACAUCCUGAGUUCUAAUAAUGGUCUGGAAUAAUUCUCAACCAAAUGUUGGGCUGUAAGAAAGGAGUUUAUGUUUGUUAAAGAAACAGUGAAGCCAUCUUUACUGAAUGGACCAGAUGCUUUAUCAAAAAUUGCCCAAGCCAGUGAACUUGAGAAAGUUUCUUCUGGAAUAUGGCAGUUUAAGAAACCUAUCCAGCUUCUGCCACAUUUACUUACUUUGAGCAACAAUAACAAAAAUGUGUUUGGUUUUGUGGAUGUAAUUAGUGAGAGGGCUAAGGAUGAUACUUCACAGGGAAGUCAAGUUGUGACAGGUCAGAUAGUUGAAGGUGGAAUUAAGGUGGGUUAAGGGAAUUGCACAAAUUUUAUGUGGAAGAGGUCCGACCUGGAGCUAAUGUUGGGGGUUCUUUGUUGUCAGCAGCUCCACCCCUGGAAAAAUCAGAAAGGCCUACGUUAAAGUUACUUUCCAGAUCUUGAGCUCUGGAUGCAUUGGCAUAUAAAUAUAGAAAGGUAGAUUGCUGUUCCUUGGUGGGAUUGGGGAUUAUUAUGUUUUGAACUUCUACUGUUCUACUGUUGCCAAUGGGGCAAGUCAAAUGAUUGAUAGACCCAAAAUGAAUUUGAAGCCUUGUUCACAGCCUCUUGACCAAUCUGAUGAAAGAUGUGAAAAAGAAAGGUUAGUGAAGUCUGUAACUUGGUCUGGAUUUUCUUAAUUAUUAUCUGUGCUUCUAGAAACAGGUAGCAACAAGGAGUCAACACUUAGAUUUGAAGAAGACAGCUCUGUUCAAAUAAUAAGUGCUUAAAUUAACUGUUGAACUUCCUGUAUAACCCAGAGUGAUGAAGCAAGCAGGAGUAUAGUAGCUGGACUAUAUUGGAGAUUCAGAAUAUUGUGUUGUUUGAGUCUAUGGAACUUAAUAGUCUAUCAGAGAAUAUUGCUUGAUUUAGGACAGGUUGCUUCCAUGCAUUCUAAUAGGAUAUUGUUAUUUCUAUGAAAUUUUAUGAAUGUGCCUUGUAGAGUUUUUAAAGAUUCCAAAUUGUGGGAGUGCGUCGAUAAUUUUAUUUAAAUUGUCUGAGUUCAUGGAUAUAUUUAUAUAAUUGGGACAGUGCAUUGAUAUUUUUAUUUUAAGGUGGUUGCUGGAGAUUUCGUUUAGGCUUUGCUCUACUGAAAUUUGAAGGAUUUGUAUUUCACUUGAGUAGCAUGUAUUGGAGGUUACUGUUUUUGCAUCUCUUCUUAGCUGAGAAAAAUGCCAGUGCUAACACUAUCUGCUACUGUUGCUGGAAAACAUUAUUCAGUGGUUCUCGUCCACGUGAAUUGGCAUGAUUGUUUAAUGAUUAA